GGGGGGGGGGGGGAAUAAAAAUUGAAAUAAGUAAAAAAUUUUGAGAAUAUGAAGAAUAAACUAAACUUACCAAUUAUAUCUUCAAAAGCAAUGGAUUAGACCUUUUUAGGGUUUCUAAUGAUAAUACUCCUAAAUUAUAACGUAACACCAAGCAAUGGUAACGGGAUUUGGCCUUUUUUAUAGAGGAGAGAAUGGUUCUUAAAAUUAUUCAAAGACAUUUUUUCAAAAUCAAUGAGCUAGUAUUAGAGAUAAAAUGAGAGAGGGUUGUCUAAGAUGGUUUGAUUAUGUACAACGCAUAGAAUCAAAUUCCCCAGUAUGAAAGUGUGAUAGGUUAGUAGGGGAAGGAG
rnacentral:misc_RNA from 1 species